ensembl:lncRNA
AUGGCGUCAUCAUCUUCCUCUUCGUCUUCUGGGUCUGCGUCGUUCUCGCUCGCCCUGGUAUCUUCAUCCUCAUCAUUUGGAUUUUGUGACGAAUCAUCAGAGGUGCGAGAUUGUUUGGGAGAGGGUGCGUCGGUCUCCUCUUCGUCUUCCUCCGCGGACGCCGAGGGGAGUUUUUCGAGAACGACUGCGAGUCUGACUUUGCUUGGACGUCCUCUCUUACGACGCGGAGCAGCGCCAUCGGCGUUCUCGCCUCCCGUCUCUCCACCUUCUGCGGGAUGGGCCUUGACUUUGCCAGUACCUGGAGGUCGGCCUCUCUUGCGGGGAGUGUCUCCGUCUUUCCUUUCAACAAGCCUGCUGGCCUCCCUCUUUUUCGUGGAGAGCCGUUGGCGACAUCAAUGCUGAUUUCGACGCCAUCUUGUUUGUCUCCGCUGCUCUGCGAACCGGAUUUUGCUCCAUACUUGCGUGGUCUUCCUCUCCCCCUUUUUACCUUAGUACCUUCAGCGAUGGGAUGAAUGCGUGGUCUUCCGAGCGGCUUUGACAGUCUCCGCUUGCGUUGUAAACUCAUCCUGUGAAGUCUCUCCGAUUCUUCCUCAGGCGUGAGCGGGAUCUUUCUCGGCCUCCCGGGCAUUUUUAUCUUCUUUGGUCGACCACGUUUCUUCACCUUGGUCUUUAUGACUGUGUCAGGAGAAAAGAAGUCCACCUUUUUCGAUGGCCUAGCAUUGUGUGUCGGCGCUUUCUCAAUAGUGAACUUCUUAUUGAGUGACCCUCGUGGUCUGCCUCGUCCACGUUUGGGUGGAUGGGUGCUGCCGUUGGGCAGAGGGCUCUCGGUUCCUUCUUUAUUCUCAACCUCCAUCACGUUGCAGCUUCUCGCUCACAACUUCAGACGAAUCAGUGCCACGCUCGUCUGUUUGGUGCUGAGAAUCUGAAAACAACAAGAUGAGAGGAGAAGCGAGGUUUGAGAUGACGAUACAAAACAUUAUUUGAAUUAAAGUACUUGAAGAGACACCUCAUAUCGUUUUCCCUCCAAAACCAGAAUUUACUAUUUUCCACUAUAUAUAUAUAUAUAUAUAUAUAUAUUGUGCAUACGUAUGACAACAGAGCAAAGCUGUUUGCAAACCUUGUAUUUUCAUGGUUAUUCUCAAUUUUUUCCCACUCUCUUGUUUCCAAUGUUAAUCAUCUAACUUUAUAUUAUAUAUAUUAUUUUUUUAUUAAUUUAAAAAUAUAUAUAGUUUACUUAGGUGGAAAUGUUAAAAUAUAAAUAAUAGUUAAAUAAGUUUACUGCAAAUACAGUCAAACUAAAACUGUACAAUGAAAGGAAAAACAUUUGAACCUAUUUAAUGAAACCUCAAAUAAAUUAAUAUAAAACAAAUUUUAAGCCUAGGUG